rnacentral:rRNA from 1 species
GAUGAACGCUGGCGGCGUGCCUAAUACAUGCAAGUCGAGCGAAUGGAUUAAGAGCUUGCUCUUAUGAAGUUAGCGGCGGACGGGUGAGUAACACGUGGGUAACCUACCCAUAAGACUGGGAUAACUCCGGGAAACCGGGGCUAAUACCGGAUAACAUUUUGAACCGCAUGGUUCGAAAUUGAAAGGCGGCUUCGGCUGUCACUUAUGGAUGGACCCGCGUCGCAUUAGCUAGUUGGUGAGGUAACGGCUCACCAAGGCAACGAUGCGUAGCCGACCUGAGAGGGUGAUCGGCCACACUGGGACUGAGACACGGCCCAGACUCCUACGGGAGGCAGCAGUAAGGAAUCUUCCGCAAUGGACGAAAGUCUGACGGAGCAACGCCGCGUGAGUGAUGAAGGCUUUCGGGUCGUAAAACUCCGUUGUUAGGGAAGAACAAGUGCUAGUUGAAUAAGCUGGCACCUUGACGGUACCUAACCAGAAAGCCACGGCUAACUACGUGCCAGCCGCCGCCGUAA